rnacentral:rRNA from 1 species
CCAAUAGCGUAUAUUAAAGUUGUUGCAGUUAAAAAGCUCGUAGUUGAAUUUCGGGAUUGGCGCAUCGGUCGUGCCUCACGGGGUAUGAACUGGUGCAGUCAAUUUCUCACCUUCUGGAGAACCGCGAUGUCCUUAAUUGGAUGCCGCGGGGAACCAGGACCUUUACUUUGAAAAAAUUAGAGUGUUUAAAGCAGGCAUUUUUGCUUGAAUACAUUAGCAUGGAAUAAUAAAAUAGGACGGCAUGGUUCUAUUUUGUUGGUUUCUAGGACCACCGUAAUGAUUAAUAGGGAUAGUUGGGGGCAUUAGUAUUCAAUUGUCAGAGGUGAAAUUCUUGGAUUUAUUGAAGACUAACUACUGCGGAAGCAUUUGCCAAGGAUGUUUUCAUUAAUCAAGAACGAAAAUUAGGGGAUCGAAGACGAUCAGAUACCGUCGUAGUCUUAACCAUAAACUAUGCCGACUAGGAAUCAGACGAUGUUAAUUUUUUAAUGACUCGUUUGGCACCUUACG